rnacentral:rRNA from 1 species
ACGUAGGGGGCAAGCGUUGUCCGGAUUUAUUGGGCGUAAAGAGCGUGUAGGCGGCUUUACAGGUCCGCUGUGAAAACUCGAGGCUCAACCUCGAGCUGUCGGUGGAAACCGUAAGGCUAGAGUCCGGAAGAGGAGAGUGGAAUUCCCGGUGUAGCGGUGAAAUGCGCAGAUAUCGGGAAGAACACCCGUGGCGAAGGCGGCUCUCUGGGACGGUACUGACGCUGAGACGCGAAAGCGUGGGGAGCGAACAGGAUUAGAUACCCUGGUAGUCCACGCCGUAAACGAUGGGUGCUAGGUGUGGGAGGUGUCGACUCCUUCCGUGCCGAAGCUGACGCAUUAAGCACCCCGCCUGGGGAGUACGGCCGCAAGGCUA